GCGGUUAGAUCGUUUCUCUGUAGUUGUUAUGCGGUUGCUAGGUUGUUCUAGUUAGCGGUUAGAUCGUUUCUCUGUAGUUGUUAUGCGGUUGCUAGGUUGUUCUAGUUAGCGGUUAGAUCGUUUCUCUGUAGUUGUUAUGCGGUUGCUAGGUUGUUCUAGUUAGCGGUUAGAUCGUUUCUCUGUAGUUGUUAUGCGGUUGCUAGGUUAUUCUAGUUAGCGGUUAGAUCGUUUCUCUGUAGUUGUUAUGCGGUUGCUAGGUUGUUCUAGUUAGCGGUUAGAUCGUUUCUCUGUAGUUGUUAUGCGGUUGCUAGGUUGUUCUAGUUAGCGGUUAGAUCGUUUCUCUGUAGUUGUUAUGCGGUUGCUAGGUUGUUCUAGUUAGCGGUUAGAUCGUUUCUCUGUAGUUGUUAUGCGGUUGCUAGGUUGUUCUAGUUAGCGGUUAGAUCGUUUCUCUGUAGUUGUUAUGCGGUUGCUAGGUUAUUCAAGUUAGCGGUUAGAUCGUUUCUCUGUAGUUGUUAUGCGGUUGCUA